rnacentral:lncRNA from 1 species
AAAAAAUAUUUUUUAAUUAAUAAAAACAUGAAUACAAAUUGUAUUAUUUUUAUUACAAUCAAUUAAAAAUAAAAAAGUCAAAAGCGUACAAGUAUAUGAAGAAUCCAAAUGAAAAAAAAAACAUACAAAUUUAUCUACUAACAUCAUCCCUUCGUCACAAGGGUUCACCAAUUGCUUUGAUGAAGAUUCGGCGCGAAUUGCCAACCACAUCCCUCAAUUGAGAAUCUGCUGAACGCUAGACUCCAAGUUCAUUAAACGUUAAAAUAGUCCAAUGUCCCUAUGUUUAUAAUAUUAGUAUGUAAGAUACUUUCUUAGUCGAUGGAGAAUCUUCAAUUGUGAAUAUUCUAUUUCUGAACCUCUUUUAUCAAAUAUAAUUACAUUGAAAAGACCAUUCCUUUCAAUUUGAUCAUAUUUGAUAAGUGUGGUUCAGAAAUAUAAUAGCCAAUUAGUCGAGAAGGAAGAUCAUCAACUGACAAGGUAGAUUAUUAGUCGACUCAAAAGAUAAUCUUACAUACUAAUACCAUGAGAACAAAGGGAAUGAAAUUGAAGAAUCAUGCUAAUCGGAGAAAAUGAAAAUUAACCUUCGAUAGAAGGACUCAUCUUGAAUAAAAAACAUGCAAAGACAAUAGAACACAUGUUUUGCAAGAGCACUCAUUCUGUAGUCCUUAUCUAUUUUCCAUUCAAAGAUUUCAAUACCAAUAGCUCGUAUAUUCUAUAAAUUGACUUACCUAUUCGAGAUUAUUUAACAAAUAGGGAAUUCGCAACAAUAUGCUCAAUCCCUACUUGCUAAAUAAUCCCAAAUAAAUUAGUCUAGUUCAUUGAAUCUACGAGUGACAGAUUAUGCUGUGCUCCUUCAACCCAAACUCGCAUAUUCCAUUGACAUGACCAACAUACCCAAUUUCGACAACUCGUAUAAUAGAUGAAAUAUUUUAAUGUGGACAACUCAUGCAUUCUAUAGACUUGAACAACAAAUUCAACAUUAAUUCAAUUUGAGAUUGGUCGAUUAGGUUCACAGAAUAUUCGAGUGACAGAUUUUACUGUACUCUUUGAACCCAAUUCAUUCAAAAAAUCAAUCAUAUAAACAUAAAUUUAUAAUAUAUAAAUCCUAUCAUCAACGCAUAAUAUUAUAAGAUAACUCACUUUGUACUAGCAACACUCAUAAUUCAAAUUCAAUUUUUAUGAAACCACGUAUAAAAUCAAUAGAGCACCUAAUAUUAUCAUACAGGGUUUUAAUUGGCACACAAAUUAACCAAUGGCAAUUCAAAGUUCUAAAGAGGAAACAUUUACCAAUAUUGUAUGCUAAGAGUGGAGGAGCUUGUGUUUGAAGGUACUUGGAAAUCAUACAUUAAUCUAACUAUUAAGGGAUGUAAGAGAUGAAUCCAGCUAAGCCUAAAAAAAAUUAGAUAUGAAGGGGACUCGACAAAUAUUCAAUUGAAUUGUGCUUGCAUAAAUAAUUUAUAAAAUAGCACUUGAGCAAAAAUACACCAUCUACGUACAUUACCAGGCUCUAGCUGAGAAAAGAACCAGACUACUACCCAGAAAACCACAUCCAAAUCAUAACCCAAGAAGGCAUUAUGCAAUCCACACUCAAGCAGGGCACAUUGCCUGGAACAUAAUAGCUAUUAUAGCAAUAACAGCACUACGACACCAUGAACAAUGUAACCAGAGAUUCAAACCCAAAGAACUGAAAAAGCAGAUCAUAGAACCACAUCCCCAUCAUAAACCUAACACAACAUCAAAAGAACAAUUAAAGCCAGAAAUUGCCUCACGAUUAAAAGCAAACAAGAUCAAAGGGUAUAUAUAUAGAAACAGAAGACAGUUGCUAAUGGCUAAAGAUUAAUCUAUCUUAUAAGCAAAGGCUUGCCCCUUUCUCAAACGAGACAUCUUCUUUGAAAAGAUAAAACUGUGAAGACCGAAAGUGAAUAAUACCUCGUGAGUGGAUGUAUUUUAGAAAUUGUUGGUCAAUACCUUGAUGUUAAAGGCACGUGCUGUUUGCUCCAAACGCCACCAAUAAUUAGGCCUGUAAAAGGGCAUCAUGGGCCUCUAACCAUUCGGGCUUCAAGCCCCAGUCCUAACAAUUAUAAAUAAAUUGCUUCAAAUUCAAAGUAAAAGACAAAAAUUAGGAAACACCAUCUCUUUCCAAAAAAAAAAAAAAAACUUACAGAGAAAAGAAUGAUAUAUUAUAUUAGGAAUUGAGCUCUAACCUGAUAUUGAUAGUAUGAUUAUCUCAACAAUAAUGAUUUUUGCUUGAGUUUUGAGGCUUUAGCCGGACGAGACGAGACAACCUACCAGUAGUUGCGGCUCUCUCAAGUGACAGCUGAAACUAG